UUAAAGUCGGCAUGAAACGGAAGUUGAGAUUGUCAUUUUUUCCUUGUUGUGACGUAUAUCCGAGGCGGGGCUUGAUUUCGUCCUUCGGGAAUUGAUUGGAUCGUUGGAGGUUGGGCGUUGCAAACAAAAUGGAGGCAGAUUUGGAUGUAUCUUCUCUGAGAGGCGGUGCACCGAUAGCCGCACCCUCAUCGGCUCUGGCCGCACCCUUUCGCCAUUGCACGUGACCGAAAGAGAAGAGAGGUCGUUUCGAGGGGGGAGGGAAGGGUAAUGUAUUUGAUUAAAGAUUAUAAGGGUACAUGAAUUUAAAAAAAAAUAA